rnacentral:rRNA from 1 species
AGCGUAGACGGAGUGGCAAGUCUGAUGUGAAAGGCAUGGGCUCAACCUGUGGACUGCAUUGGAAACUGUCAUACUUGAGUGCCGGAGGGGUAAGCGGAAUUCCUAGUGUAGCGGUGAAAUGCGUAGAUAUUAGGAGGAACACCAGUGGCGAAGGCGGCUUACUGGACGGUAACUGACGUUGAGGCUCGAAAGCGUGGGAGCAAACA